UGCCAGCCGCCGCGGUAAUACGGAGGGUGCAAGCGUUAAUCGGAAUUACUGGGCGUAAAGCGCGCGUAGGUGGUUUAGUAAGUAGGCUGUGAAAGCCCCGGGCUCAACCUGGGAAUGCCAGUCUAAACUGCUUGACUAGAGAUCAAUAGAGGGAGGUGGAAAUCCUGGUGUAGCGGUGAAAUGCGUAGAUAUCAGGAAGAACACCGGUGGCGAAGGCGACCUCCUGGAUUGAUUCUGACACUGAGGUGCGAAAGCGUGGGGAGCAAACAGGAUUAGAUA
rnacentral:rRNA from 1 species